rnacentral:lncRNA from 1 species
ACUAAUUAUCAUUAACUCCAUAAUUCCAAAUGUCUAGUUUUGAUUGUUUAAUAUACCAGAAAAAUCUCUAAUCAUGUGAUUAAUGUAUCACUAACUACAUUUUAUUAUUAGGUUAAAGCCUUAAUCUGAUUUGAAUUAUUAUCACAGCAUCUGGCAAUUUAUUUGUUCAUAUGAGUGCCUAAAUAUGCACUAUGUAAUAACCAUAGCAUAGUAGUAUUGUACAUUCAAGUAUCCCAAUAAGCAUUUCAGUAUAUUGCCUCAGGUUUGUUUUUGGAGUUGUCUGUUGGUUUUUUUUUUUUUAUUAUUAUUAUUAUUACUAGUUUGUUGGUGUUUAUGUGUUGAUUAUUUAUUUAUUUCUUAAAUUAUCAAGUAUUUUGGAAAUAUGUUCCCUUCAGUAUUUAUACCUGUAACCUUUUUUUCAGCUCUCACAGAGAUGAACAGAUUCCUAUGACUUCUUAUUUUCAUGUUAGGUAUGAAAUCAAAAUACACGUUGUUUAAAUAUGUGGGACCUGGAAUGGAAUUGUAACAUCACACUGGCUCUCCUGUUGGUUACUGUCAAGUUCAAGUGUCUCUUCUAUGAUGCAGUUUCAUCAAAGAACAGAAAAAAUAGCCAUGGAGACUUUCAGCGCUUCCUCCACUUCCCUUAAGAUUCAAAACCCAAGAUCAACCUGACUCUGUAGAUUAUAUCCUACAUUAAAAUGAUUUUAGAAUUUUAGAAUAUAUAAUGAUUUACUCUGCCACAGGUUUUAUAGUGAGUUUGCAAGGCCUCAGGCCUGAGGCUUGUUAGGCUUUCUCUGUCCGAGCUUUUCUUUACCUACCUGCAGGUUUGUUUUACUUGGUUUAGCUGUAACAGUAAUUCUUCUAACUGACCAGGUGGCUAUAGCUAACUUUGCCUUUGUUUCUCUAUGCAUGGUACCACCAGGGUUUUCCAGCUCUUCACAUACCAGCGUAGGGAGUGGAGCAGAAAAACAAAGGUCUUGUGCCAUUGCAGAGGCC